rnacentral:rRNA from 1 species
GAUGAACGCUGGCGGCGUGCCUAAUACAUGCAAGUCGAGCGAACAGAUGAGGCGCUUGCUCCUCGGACGUUAGCGGCGGACGGGUGUGUAACACGUGUAUAACCUACCUAUCAGACUGGGAUAACUACGGGAAACCGGAGCUAAUACCGGAGAAUAUAUUGCACCGCAUUGUGCGAUAGUAAAAGACGGUUUUGCUGUCACUUAUAGAUGGAUCCGCGCGGCAUUAGGUAGUUGUGAAGGUCACGGCUUACCAAGGCAACGAGGCGUAGCCGACCUGAGAGGGUGAUCGGCCACAUUAGAAGUGAGCCGCCGUCCAGGCUCCUGCGAGAGGCAGCAGUAGGGAAUCUUACGCAGUGGGCGAAAGCCUGACGGAGCAACGCCGCGUGAGUGAUGAAGGUCUUCGGAUCGUAAAACUCUGUUAUUGGGGAAAAACAAAUGUGUAAGUAACUGUGCACGUAUUGACGGUACCGAGUCAGAAAGCCACGGCUAACUACGUG